rnacentral:sRNA from 1 species
ACUCCGGGUGCCGGUUGAGGUUGCUGGUGGACCUGCUCUGGUGGUCUUGGAUGAGGCCCCAUGAGCGCGGCGCCCCUGGUGGGCUACAGCAGCAGCGGCUCCGAGGAUGAGUCCGAGGACGGGAUGCGGACCAGGCUGGGGGAUGGGAGCCACCGUCGUGGCCACAGCCCCCUUCCCAGGCAGAGAUUUCCAGUACCUGACAGUGUGCUGAACAUGUUCCCGGGCACCGAGGAGGGGCCUGAAGAUGACAGCACAAAACACGGGGGACGGGUGCGCACCUUCCCCCACGAGCGAGGCAACUGGGCCACCCACGUCUAUGUACCAUAUUCUUCUUUACUGCCAACCAGGUAAAGAUUUACACCAAUCAAGAGAAAACCAGGACCUUUAUUGGGCUUGAGGUCACUUCAGGGCAUGCCCAGUUCCUGGACCUGGUUUCAGAGGUGGACAGAGUCAUGGAGGAAUUC